ACCCUUUUUUCCUUGCGCCGUGCGGACUAUAUUGAAGUCGCCGGUUCGCCGGCUAUGGAAAUAAAUGGCCGCCGCAAUAAACCAUUCGGACCCGGGGGCAGUACCCGGCGCCUCCACCAGAGCCCGAACGUGGCUGAUUCGGGUUCUGGCGGGGGCGAAACAGGAUCGACGAGGGCGUAAAGGGCUCGCUUUUUCCCGGUAUGGUUCCGCCGUUAUCGGGCUAUGCAAUAGUUGCAAACGACAACUAUGCUCCGGUUGCUCAGGCUGCGUAACGCAGUUUGAAAGACCACUCUGAAGCCCUGACGGGUUAAGCUCCGUCAGGCGGGGUCCGGAGGCACCUGGCAACAGAAGCCUCCACU
rnacentral:tmRNA from 20 species